ACCAUCACGGGGUAACCAGGAGAGAAUAAGAGGGAGCUGAGAGAGGCCAGACUCAGCUGGGAGCUCUUUGAAGCUGAGCUCUCGGGUCCUCUCGCCAUGGCCUGGCCUCUCGUCUGUCUCUCACUGCUCACCUUCUGCUCAGGCUCCCUCUCCCAGGAUGUGGUGACUCAGCCUCCCUCUGCCUCUGCAGCCCUGGGGAGCUCGGCCAGACUCUCCUGCACCCUGAGCAGUGCGUCCAGUAGUUAUUAUGUUUAUUGGCACCAGCAGAGCUCUGGAAAGGCCCCUCGGUACCUCCUGUAUGUCACCAGCAGUGGAGGUACAGGCAGGGGCGACGGGAUCCCUGAGCGCUUCUCUGGCUCCAGAUCUGGGACUAACCGAUUCCUGUCCAUCAGCAACGUCCAGGCUGAGGAUGAAGCCGAUUAUUUCUGUCAGGCAUAUUACUACCAUAGUAGUAGUAAUUUUGGUUAUACACAGUGA